UACGGGAGUGGCAAGCGUUAUCCGGAAUUAUUGGGCGUAAAGCGUCCGCAGGUGGCCCUGUAAGUCUGUCGUUAAAGCGUGGAGCUUAACUCCAUUUAAGCGAUGGAAACUACAGGGCUAGAGUGUGGUAGGGGCAGAGGGAAUUCCCGGUGUAGCGGUGAAAUGCGUAGAUAUCGGGAAGAACACCAGUGGCGAAGGCGCUCUGCUGGGCCAUCACUGACACUCAUGGACGAAAGCCAGGGGAGCGAAAGGGAUUAGAUACCCCUGUAGUCCUGGCCGUAAACGAUGAACACUAGGUGUCGGGGGAAUCGACCCCCUCGGUGUCGUAGCCAACGCGUUAAGUGUUCCGCCUGGGGAGUACGCACGCAAGUGUGAAACUCAAAGGAAUUGACGGGGGCCCGCACAAGCGGUGGAGUAUGUGGUUUAAUUCGAUGCAACGCGAAGAACCUUACCAGGGUUUGACAUCCUGCGAAUCCCUUGGAAACGAGGGAGUGCCUUCGGGAGCGCAGAGACAGGUGGUGCAUGGCUGUCGUCAGCUCGUGUCGUGAGAUGUUGGGUUAAGUCCCGCAACGAGCGCAACCCACGUCGUUAGUUGCCAGCAUUCAGUUGGGCACUCUAGCGAGACCGCCGGUGAUAAACCGGAGGAAGGUGUGGAUGACGUCAAGUCAUCAUGCCCCUUACAUCCUGGGCUACACACGUACUACAAUGCUACGGACAAAGGGCAGCAAGCUCGCGAGAGUUAGCAAAUCUCAUAAACCGUGGCUCAGUUCAGAUCGUAGGCUGCAACUCGCCUACGUGAAGGAGGAAUCGCUAGUAAUCGCAGGUCAGCAUACUGCGGUGAAUACGUUCCCGGGCCU
rnacentral:rRNA from 1 species